UUUUCAGCCGACACCCCCCUCCAUGGCAUCUUCUCUGCACUUCUUAAAAAAACCAUAAUCCCCUAAACACUCCACAUUUCGUUCCCUCUCCCUCAAACUCGGAACCAGAGACGCACACCCACCCCCUUUUGUUCUUUUCCUUCUAUAGUGACCGGAGAGACACCGACCGGCCAUCAAAAACCCUCCGGCCGCUGUGUUGAUCCGACAAGCACCCCACCGUGGCAGCGUGAAGGCCGUAUGGCUUACAACGGCGCGAACACAGACGCGAAGGGAGAGGGAGAGACAAGAAGAGGGAGAGACAACUGAGAAGGAAGGCCGACACCAUUCGUGGCGGCGGCGACGAAGCAGCGGUAGAAGCCGUCCGGCGACUGGAUUCGGGUCGAUGUGUGGCUUGGGUUCGUUGGGCUCGGGUCAGGUUCAAUCGCAGGUUUGGCUCCGUGUGCUGUUCGGGUUAGCGGGUGCAGUCCCGGGUUGUUAACGGGUCUGGUUCGACUCAGGUACAGGGCCCAGGUCAGUUGCAGACGGCUUCGGUUCAGUCGGUUUGGUUCGAAGUUCAGACUCGGGUGCAACCUUGGUUCAGAUUCGAUGUCCGGUUCAUUGUUCAGUCAAAACUGGUCAACCAUGGUCAACGGAUCGACGCCACUGUUUCGGAUUUGGAUGAUGCAAGGAAUCUAGUAGGAUUGCCUAGAAACGCCUUUAGAUUUUAAUACUUGUUACACUGUACUUUAUUUUCAAACAUGUUGUAUUAUGUUUCCAAUACUUGUAACAAUUAAUUAACAAUGAAAUGAAAUUUAAUUAUUUGAAUACUAUUUCUGCAAUAUUUAUUUUAAUCUUGUGGUAUUCUAGUACAAGCAAUGUAAAAUGUAACCAUUAAAUACGUGACACAAAUAGGGUUAUGAAGUCUCUUGCAAUCUUCACACUUCGUCUCAUCCCGAUUUUUUCCGCCAUUGGUUGGGGUGUGACAGAUUGGUAUCAGAGCCAUAACUAUAGGGAAUUAGGUAGAAUUGCCAUGUUCGACCUAGUCUAUAGUCUAAGUACCAAAACUCGACCAUUUCAAAUUCUUUCUUGAUAUGUAGUUCUUCCUCUUUGCUUCUACCUCUCCUUUUGUCUAAAUAGACGAUGCGUCUUUUCUAAGACAUUUCACACAAUACAUACUUGAAAAUACUCAUAUUCCACAAUUGAAACAACUCACUAAAAUAAGGGUGAUUCCCGCCUUUGGUGACGAAUUUCAAUCCACCUUACAUGUUAUUUUGCACGAAACUUCCCCAUCAAGUGAGGAGUGAUAUCCGUAUCUUGGUGGGAAUUUCCAUUUCAUACUCUAGUGGUUCAUUAUUGACGAGUCGAGAUUUUAACUUGUUUCGUUCAAUAAACCACUUUUUGGGGACGAAAUUGUCAAGCUAGGAUUGAUAUCCACACCAUGGUGACUGGUCCCGCUCUACGAUUUUCAAUCUCGCCAAAGUUUCAUAUUUUCGAUCAAAUUAGGGACAAGUACUAACUGUAAGGGUAAAAUACCGUUCAUCGCUUGGCAACGAUCGUAUUAUACCUAUUAGGCCAAAGCAUGUCUCCCUAAUUCGGAAGGACUUGCGAUUCAAUUUGGAUUAGUCGAAGUUUCUAAACCUGAAGCACUCCAAUACUUGUCAAGCCUCUCUUUUAUAUUAACUUAACUUUUAUGCGAUUUAAUACUUGUUACCUAAUCAUCGUUUUACACAAUAAAUUAACACAUGCAUACUGAUACGUUAUACUUGAUUCAGGAUUACUUGACAUUCUUUAUGUAAUGAACUGGUCAUUAGCUUCGUAAGAAGCCACACCUUAACGUAUAUAGUGCUUAUGAGGCACUAUAGGAGUAGCGCACUGAUGCGUGUGUAGUGUAAUAUAAUUUAGAUGUAUAUUUAAGCCUUUUUUACACUUUUAGCCAAGUUUUAAAUUUAUAAAACACGAUAUUUACUAACACUAAACACACAUAUGGGCAAGACCCUUACCAAACCGUUCCCUUAACCCCCGACCAGGUAGCCAACAUACCUCCAUAUGGACCGUGGAGAUAUGAAUGGUGAAAAUCUUUUAUUUUAUAUAGACAGUAAAAUAAUGCCAAGACACUACGGAUAAACGAUAAGGAAAGAUCACCUUCAACAUAAGCAACUAGUUAUUAAAGUCAUUAAUUCCAAAACCAAAUAAAAAGUGCAAAAGAUUAAAAAUAAAAAAGUAUUAUACUAAACACUUGUCUUCACCAAGUGAUGUAAGAGACUUAGGCAAACAUGGCCUUGAUUGUCAAGAACUCUUACGAUCAAUCUUGGAUCCCGAGAUGACUCACACACUCUAUGAUGGACAAUGGAUGAUGGUGGUGGAUGAUGGUGUUAUGGUGGUGGUGGGUGGUGGAUGAAGUGUGAGAGAUGUGGUGUGCCAAGGGAUGAGUUGCAAUGAAACCAAACACUCCUAUUUAUAGGCUGAACAGAAGGCUGGGCACGGCCCCGUGUCCGCUGGGCACGGCCCCGUGCCUGUCUGACACUCUCUCUCUUCAUUAAUUGUAAUUCGCAAUUACAAUUAAUGCGCCUGCUGUACUUUCGUCACGCCCCCGUGUUCACUGGACACGGCCCCGUGGUGGGCAAUAGAAGCUUCUAUAGGUUUGUCUUUUCUGCUACUUCUUAGGCACGACCCCGGGCUGACUGAGCACGGGGCGUGUUCAGUCUUAUGCCUUCUCUGUUUUGCUUGAUAGGAUGCUGUUGAGGGGUCGGGCAAUCCACUUUUGUUCUUUUUCUUGUAUUUAUGUUAGAUUUAGCUGUCUUUUUUGCUUCUUUUGUGAAUUUGAGCUCAUUUAAUCCUGAAAAUACAAAAGGAAGACAAAAACACUCUUUUUCCUACAUUAGUACUUAAAAAUUGUUAGUUUCAUGCUUUAUUUGAUGUAAUUUAUAUGUUGCAUUUCACACACAUCAAAUACCCCCACACUUGAACUUUUGCUUGUCCUCAAGCAAAGCUCUUUAAUACGUAGCUUACACUCCCAAAUGGAAUUGGUAGAAGAGAAGGUUUUGGCUUGUCAUAGAGUGUCGGGAAUCCAAGAUCUUUUUGGGUUUUAUUUUUAUUUAUUUACAAUCCUAUUCGUUAUGAUUUGUUUAGAAUGUUUCAUAGGAGAAACUACUUAUUUGGGCAUAACAUGCCUUUUUAAAAUUCCGUUUAUAUACAAGUUCACAUACCUCACGGGAGAAAUCACUUACACUCGGCCGAAGGUGUAUUUUUAGUGAAUCACUCGAGAGCGGUAUGGAACUUAUUCCUACCAUAAGCUUGCCAAGCAAUCAAUCCUCCUCCUUUUUAACUUGUUACCUUUGUAAAUAUCAAGAGGACUUUUUGGGUAAAGGCUUGGGCUAAAGGUGGGUGAAUGGGUUAGUGGUUAGUAAAAAGGGCGAAAAGCGUAAAAAGCGUCGGUUUUCGUAAAACACUUUGUUUUAGUGACUUUUUAUUUUGAAGUAUUUCUUCAAACAAGCUUUUGUUUUAAGAGCUUUGUUUGUUUAUUUCUAACUUCAUCAUUUUUUUAGUCACACGAAAACCGGACUUGUUACUAAAAUAAAGGGGUAAAAUAAAAAGGGUUUUUGGUGGGUAAAAAGGUUUUAGGGUAAAGAAAUGAAAGGUUUAGGCUCAAAGGGGUUAACUAGGGGGAUUUUAGGCAGUUGGUACAAAAAAUGAAAAAUAAUGGUGUAGAAAGAAAAAGGGUUAGUCCUAAUGCCUCCAUCAUUUACUUACUUGGGUUUAAGUUGGUAAGGACCGGGAAUGAAUUGUCGUGGCAAGUUCUAGAGUCGUAAGAACCAAGCGGCUAUUCACACAAGAAACGAAAAAUGAGCAUUUAGUCUAAAGAUGUGUAUUUGUAUGCUUAACAAAGGCUCAAAACUCACUUUUUGUGGGAAUGGAUUUUUCUAUUGAUCAAGUAUAUAUAAUCAAAUUUUAACUAAGCUUGUCAUGCCGUUUCAUAAUUUUCUUAUGUUGGUUCUUUUCAUCACGACGCUAUCGGUUGUAAAUUUGUAAAAGUAUAACCUUAUUAAGACUUGAAUUCCCAACUUAAACUUAG
rnacentral:lncRNA from 1 species